UACGUAGGGGGCAAGCGUUGUCCGGAAUUAUUGGGCGUAAAGAGCGCGUAGGCGGUCCGAUAAGUCGGCUGUGAAAGUCAGGGGCUCAACCCUUGAAAGCCGGCCGAUACUGUCGGACUAGAGUCCGGAAGAGGCAAGUGGAAUUCCCGGUGUAGCGGUGAAAUGCGCAGAUAUCGGGAGGAACACCAAUGGCGAAGGCAGCUUGCUGGGACGGUACUGACGCUGAGGCGCAAAAGCGUGGGGAGCAAACAGG
rnacentral:rRNA from 1 species